rnacentral:lncRNA from 1 species
GGAGACAAAGUUUGAUCUUCAUUACUUGCUAAAAAUAGUAUACUAAACAAAUGUGAUAUCUAAUUUUAUAUUACUAAUCUACCCCUGCAUCCCUUAAAUAAUCUUAUCUUCCUUUUUUCGUAAAGAGAAAUAAAUCAUAAAUUCUAAAUAUAAAUAUAUUUUUGAUCCAGAAAAUAAAAUAAAAACACGAAAAAAGUGUGUGUGUGUGAGAGAGAGAGAGAGAGAAAUCUUUCCGGCAAAAUCUCGGUAGUCUAGUCUCUUCCAUAUCAGGAGCUAUAAACAACAAUAAACCCCACACAGGUCCAGCUUUUCCGUCGCCGGCAGCCGUUCACCGGGAUAGUAACUCUUAAACCAAACUCGAAACCGUCUAUUUCCUCAUCUCUUAUACUUGACGUCUGCUGGCAGGUUCCUUUCCUUUCUCAAUAGUGGAGAUNN